UACAGAGGUCUCAAGCGUUGUUCGGAUUCAUUGGGCGUAAAGGGUGCGUAGGUGGCGCGCUAAGUCAGGUGUGAAAUUUCGGAGCUCAACUCCGAAACUGCAUUUGAUACUGGCGUGCUUGAGGACUGGAGAGGAGACUGGAAUUUACGGUGUAGCGGUGAAAUGCGUAGAGAUCGUAAGGAAGACCAGUGGCGAAGGCGGGUCUCUGGACAGUUCCUGACACUGAGGCACGAAGGCCAGGGGAGCAAACGGG
rnacentral:rRNA from 1 species